UGGAGAUUAUGCUGCCUUCAAGUUGUGUCGGAAAUAUCGUAUUUACGAGAUGGGAGCACAUGAACGCAACCACAAACUCGUAUUUAACAGUGGGAAACUCUGGCGUGUCAGUAAAAAGAGGUCAGUAAAUUAAUUUAAUUUAUUUAAAUUGAUAAAUAAAUUCAAUAAAUUGAUGCAGACAGGCAGCAGGUCCUUUGUUUGAUUUUCCCGCCCUUUUUCUCCACUGCCACAUUUAAGGCCCUCUUCCAAAGCCACUGCACACACUCUAAUAGUGCAGUGUUAGCACACCCGGCUGUAGUUCCAACGAUUAGGAGUUCAAACCCCGGUUCAACUACCCCAUCCCAGGAUGUCCCUAACAGUGGCCAGGACUGAGGGGGUGACUGUAUUCAGCAUCACCUCCAAUCCAAAGAGCAAAUGUCCACUGAUCUUCCUGCUUCUACGCACCAUCUGCUGUAGCCCGAUUUGCUUAGUGUCUCGGAACCUGAAGCAGGAGCUGGGCUCUACUUACACAGUUCUGGGGGCUUUACAGAUUCUGGUUGGUGUAAUGAAUGUGGGAUUCGCAUGCAUCGUUAAAAUCUUUGAAAUGCCCACUAUGCUUUUUCAGGCCUACAUUUCACUGGGAGGGCUGGUAAGUUUCAUGUCU
rnacentral:lncRNA from 1 species